CAAGGACCCAUUCAGUUGGGUGGCUACGCCGGGCGCCGAUCCCCCGGCCAACU
rnacentral:ncRNA from 1 species